rnacentral:rRNA from 1 species
UACGUAGGUGGCAAGCGUUGUCCGGAUUUACUGGGCGUAAAGAGCGUGUAGGCGGCCAAGCAGGUCCGUUGUGAAAACUGGAGGCUUAACCUCCAGACGUCGACGGAAACCGCGUGGCUAGAGUCCGGAAGAGGAGAGUGGAAUUCCUGGUGUAGCGGUGAAAUGCGCAGAUAUCAGGAAGAACACCAAUGGCGAAGGCAGCACUCUGGGCCGGCACUGACGCUGAGGAGCGAAAGCGUGGGGAGCGAACAGG